rnacentral:tRNA from 1 species
GCCUGGCUGGCUCAGUCAGUGGGGCGUGUGACUCUUGAUCUCGAGGUUGUGAGUUCAAGUCCCACUUUGGGUG